rnacentral:rRNA from 1 species
AUGGAGGCGCCUUCGUCAUCCCCUACUCUGCAAGAUCAUCUCUCCCGGCCAACUGGCCCCUUGCAUCUCAAAGUAUGGGAGGUUGUAUGCAUUGCCUUGGGAGUGUUCAUGGCGGUCGUCUUCUUUUUAACUGUCUGGCUCACUAUGCGGAGUAGGAAGAGGACCAGACGAGCAUCUGGAAAUAUCCCAGUCACCCAAAUCCCUGCCAUUUCCAAGGAAAUCAAGGAAGUCAGGGUGGAGCAAGUCCCUGCAACUGACUUUGGGGCGCAUGACGGAGUCCUGCUAACGAUCCAAGACAAGCCUAGUGACCGGGAAUCAGACAAGGUCAUGGUCCAUUUGGGUGUAAGCAAAUCGAGACGUGGGGACGAGAGCCACUCAGGGUCAUUCCGUUACAUGGACAAGGAUGCAGGCUUUCAAUCAGCUGAAGAAGGAGGGUCGGGAACUUUUCGUCAAGCUUCAAUUCAUGGAAUAACCGCCCCUUCACCUUUGGUUGGCUUGCCAGAGUUCUCCUACCUUGGCUGGGGUCAUUGGUUUACUUUGAGGGAUUUGGAACUUGCCACUAACCGUUUUUCCAAGGAUAACAUUAUUGGUGAGGGUGGAUAUGGUGUAGUUUAUCGUGGCGAGAUCGUUAAUGGCACUCCUGUUGCUGUCAAAAAGCUUCUCAAUAACCUAGGGCAAGCUGAGAAGGAAUUCAGAGUAGAAGUUGAGGCUAUUGGUCAUGUUCGCCACAAGAACUUAGUCCGUCUUCUUGGUUACUGUGUGGAGGGUACUCAGAGGAUACUUGUCUAUGAAUAUGUGAACAAUGGAAACCUAGAGCAAUGGCUUCAUGGAGCUAUGAGUCACCGGGGCUCCCUUACAUGGGAGGCCCGCAUAAAGAUUCUUCUAGGGACAGCUAAAGCGCUUGCUUACUUGCAUGAGGCAAUUGAACCGAAAGUCGUGCACCGUGAUAUCAAAUCCAGCAAUAUUUUGAUUGAUGAUGAUUUUGAUGCUAAAGUAUCAGAUUUUGGUUUAGCCAAGCUUCUUGGUGCCGGCAAGAGUCAUGUAACUACUCGGGUUAUGGGAACCUUUGGCUAUGUGGCACCAGAAUAUGCAAACACUGGACUGUUGAAUGAGAAAAGUGACAUUUACAGCUUUGGAGUUGUUAUUCUAGAGGCAAUUACAGGGAGGGAUCCUGUUGACUAUGGUCGCCCGGCAAAUGAGGUAUUUGUAAAUCUGGUUGACUGGUUAAAAAUGAUGGUUGCUAGCAGGCGUUCAGAGGAGGUGGUGGAUCCCACCAUAGAGACACGGCCUUCGACAAGGGUUCUCAAGCGUGCACUUCUAACAGCUUUGAGGUGCGUGGAUCCGGAUUCAGAAAAGAGACCGAAGAUGGGUCAAGUUGUGCGGAUGCUGGAGUCAGAUGAUCCAAUUCCUCGUGUGGACAGAAGAUCGAGGCAUAACCGCGGGGGGAGCACCGAAAUGGACUCCCAACGGGAGAACUCCGACACGGACAAGAGUGACAACCCAGAUUCCAAACCGAGCAGGAGCAGAGCAUCAUCUUCCAAAUGA